rfam:Pseudogymnoascus pannorum VKM F-4517 (FW-2822) contig_391, whole genome shotgun sequence.
GGGGUGCUCGCGCAGUGGUAGCGCUUCUGAUUUCUGCUCCUACUUGAUUGGAUUUUUUCAAUUCAAGAGGUGGUUUACCUGGGGGUCGGCUAGGUGGUUACAUUCCCCUAGAACGAAUAAAUCUUCGACCACACACGAUCUACUCGCAUACAGUCUUGUUUUCAAAGUAAACCGGGAAAAUUCAGGAGGUCAUCGGUUCGAAUCCGGUGCACCCCA